rnacentral:tRNA from 1 species
GGGGGUGUAGUUAAGUGGUAUAACGAGGGUCUCCAAAACCUUAGUCGGGAGUUCGAUUCUCUCCACCCCUG